AAAAAGACAUAACCAAGCCUAAGAAACUAGAUGACUAUGUGUAAUUCACCAUUUUGAUAUAUCUGAGAAAAGAGUAAGAAGUUUCCAAAAGUUGUUGUAGCUGUAAGAUUUCCCACUCCUAAAUUUAUGGGAUUGCCUUUUGAUUAUAACAAUCAUUAGAUUUACAUAUUGUGGCUAUACAUAAAGAUGAAAUCAAUGAAUGAAAGGCAUAAAAAAGUCUACUUCUCAAUCUAAAUUCUAAGGAGGAUCUCUUGUCCUACUA
rnacentral:lncRNA from 1 species